rnacentral:lncRNA from 1 species
UUUUUGUGUAGUGUAUAUAACCGACUACGGCUGCAGAAUAUACAGUCUCUGGUGUUGAUGGAAAGGAUUGUUUUACCUAGAGGCAGCUUGGUAUGACAUGUUGCAAAGCUUUCUGUUUGAUUAACAGAUAAUAGAUACUGCAGGCACUAGCAAUUAUACUUACCUAGCAAUUGCCGUAUUCCAGUCAUGGAGUCAUAAUCUUAGAAUAAAGGUCUCGGUGUUUAGGCGAAUCUGAGGAAAGUCCAAAAUAUUGCAACAGUUUUACUGUUCCAGUUGUUAAAAUUGUAAGCAAAGACGUAUGCUGGCUUAAAC